ensembl:lncRNA
UAUUUUUUUUUUUUUUUUAUCGAAAAUGGAGUAUCUGGUUAGUCAGUGACCUUUCACUAUGGAAAUACUGUCUGUCUGUAACAGGAAAAAGCGCCUUCUCCCAAAAAUCUCGAUCAAACACAAUGAAAAUGAGGAUUUAGUAACUAAUUAGGAAUCAGUUACAAAAAUAGGAUUUUAAAAAUUGCUUAACAUGUAAACGGUUUCUGUUUACAGCAGAUUCUGUGAAGUCAGUAUCUAAAAUUGACCUACUUUUAUUCAUAGGUCGUUCAGUCUCUUGCCUAGCAAGAUGACCUCCCAUGCUGCGAUGAAAGCAUAUGUCUAUGAUACUGUACUAUAUGGUACCACACUUCCUGUCUUUAUGCCCCAAAUGGAAGCAUUACUAAAGGAGCCUUUACAGGAAACUAAUGUACUACAGUUAAUAUUGAUCUUCUAAAUACAUGAAAUGGGCAUAACAAUACAAGCUAAAGCAGGAGGUUUCAGCAAAUACAGCAGAGGAUAGCAUGUACGAGUAUCUAGCGGGAUUAGCAUCUUGAAAACUGACUUUGUAAUGGGUAGGAAAUGAAAACUAAGAGGUCCCUCACUAAGAGCAUCAAAUUGACUGUUUUAAUUGAUGUAUAUAAUUAUUGCAUCCUUCUGUGAAUCAAUUUUGUUACGAUCAGUUUAGAGCCUUCACAACACUAAGAUGGUCUUGUUAAAUUAAUUCAUACAGCAAAAUACUACACUGUUCCACAUUAUCACAGGAAGCAUCAGUUCAGCACAGCUACAUUUGGUAGCAAGGUUGCAGCUGAUAAAAAGCCUCCUACUCCAAGCAGUGUAAUAAGCGUACUAAACUAAAACAUAACGAUGGGAACACAAAGAUCUCUUGAGAUUCUUUGAAAAAGAACACACAAUAAGCAGUUAGUUACAAACAGUGACAAAACAAGUUUUUCUGUAUUUUAAUUACUUGGCAUUUAUUAAAAAAUGUAUUGCUCUCCAAAAUUGUUAGUACAGUUCCUUUUUGAAUUAUAUACAGAUAGGAACUUGAUACUUCUGGAGCAUAGAAAAUAGGAUGAUAACUGCUAAAUAUGAGGAAUAAAUAGUGGGUGUAGUUGCCACAAUUCACGAAUUGCACAAGUCCUCAUGCAAUCAUUAGUGAAUACAUUUUAUGAUGGGCCUGACAACUAUCAUCAGCCUCACUUCAGAAAUCUGAAAACUGAUGAAUUACCUACCCAAGAUCACAUAUCAAAUAGCAGCGGGUUUUGUGUUUUUUUUUAUUCCCUUCCACAGAAUUCUUAAUAUUCGAGGUCAUAAUCCCCUUCAUACCUUCCUGUAGGACUGCACAAACCAGUACCUAAUCAGAAAAACAUACUUAUUUCUUACACUAAUAUCCACUGCUUGUGUACAGAGUUCAUAUUUAGCUUACUAAUUUCAGAUUUAUGCAGAAAUUAAGCACAUCCUUCAUAUUUUCAUUUUUAAAUACAUUUACUAGUAUCUACUUUAGGUAACUGGUAUAAUAGAUUAUGGUCCAAAAUAUAUUUUAACUUGUAAAAGAGAGCCAAACAGCAUGACUGUAGAAUAUCCUGAUCUUGCAGAUACAAAUUCUAAUAAAUUUAUUCAUAAUAAUAUUGCAUGUGUUUGUAUAAUCUGGGAUAUUGACCACACAUUCAUUAACAUACUCUUACUUUCACCAAUUAGCAAGUUAAAUAAGCUGUUUAGAUGCACAAGUGUUAUUUUUCUGUGACUGCAUGAAGGAUGCAGGUUUAAGCUCAUUGACUGUUGCCCAGAACAGUUGAGCCAUUCACCCCUUUAUUUUAAGAUAAUAUUUUUUCCAUCAACAAUUCCAUCCAAUUUUCCCAUCCAAGGCCCUCUGUGUUAAGGGUUGCACCAACAUUACAAUAGGUAGAUGCAUUUCAAGAUUACAACUACACAACAGAAUAUUCUAAUGUAGGCAUUUCCACUGGGUAUCUGCCAGAGAUUAGGAAAUCCAGUAAGGGUAUCUAUCCACAGACAUUAAAAACUGCUACACCUCCAGUAGGCUACCAUGUGACAUGAGAAUUAAAGUGUGAAACGCUUAACCAUAAACACAGUUUUCGUAUUUUGAAUAAUUAAAUUAAAAGAAAAUUAGAAGUUUAAAUGUGCCUUCUUUACACUAAUAUACUACUUAAUCUGUUAACUUUCGCCAUUUUGUUUGGCAUGGGCACUCAUGACAACCUGGAGCGGCCACUCUGGCCUUGUUUACUGAUGACAUCGCAUAAAUAAGGCACAACUAGGCCUUUUUUUCCCACUGAAACAACCUUAUUUCUAGUAAACCACAUACCCAUAUGCUUCAGAAACUUUAAUCUGAAGUUCAUCAGUGCAUUUACUGAUUGCAGUAAGGAAAAAAAAAAAGUUUUCUCCUCAUUGCUCCUACCGCGACACUCAACAUCCACACCUGCUGUAUUUGUGAGGAUACCCACUAGCUGUGUGCAGCACCACUCAGCUCAUGUCAUCCCCAACUCCGAGAGUAGGUAACACUCUUGAGGCGCCAGGCAGACACACUGCUGUCCCACCCAAACACCCGCCUGGUGACGCAUGGGAGGCGCCUGCACCUCACGUCACCCAUGCACAGGACAGAAUGCAGUCAGACAACUGCCCGGUGUUGCCCAGCUCUCUCUGCCUUCAGGACUCAGCGGAGUGCCCCAGCCGUGCCCUGCCCCACGCCAGACCUACCUGUAACCGCCACCGCCGCCGCCGCUGCCGCACGGACCCCUCCACACGUGGGGGGGCGGAGGAAGACACCGCCCCGCGCCCAGCGCCCCACCUGCUGCCACCUCUGCGC